CCUACGGGAGGCAGCAGUGAGGAAUAUUGGUCAAUGGACGAGAGUCUGAACCAGCCAAGUAGCGUGAAGGAUGACUGCCCUAUGGGUUGUAAACUUCUUUUAUAUGGGAAUAAAACGUUCCACGUGUGGGAUUUUGUAUGUACCAUAUGAAUAAGGAUCGGCUAACUCCGUGCCAGCAGCCGCGGUAAUACGGAGGAUCCGAGCGUUAUCCGGAUUUAUUGGGUUUAAAGGGAGCGUAGGUGGAUUGUUAAGUCAGUUGUGAAAGUUUGCGGCUCAACCGUAAAAUUGCAGUUGAAACUGGCAGUCUUGAGUACAGUAGAGGUGGGCGGAAUUCGUGGUGUAGCGGUGAAAUACUUAGAUAUCACGAAGAACUCCGAUUGCGAAGGCAGUUCACUGGACUGCAACUGACACUGAGGCUCGAAAGUGUGGGUAUCAAACAGGAUUAGACACCCUGGUAGUC
rnacentral:rRNA from 1 species